rnacentral:rRNA from 1 species
UACGGGGGGAGCAAGCGUUGUUCGGAUUUACUGGGCGUAAAGGGCGCGUAGGCGGCCACCGCAAGUCAGUUGUGAAAGCUCUGGGCUUAACCCAGAAAGGUCAGCUGAUACUGCGGGGCUAGAGUGCAGAAGGGGCAACUGGAAUUCUCGGUGUAGCGGUGAAAUGCGUAGAUAUCGAGAGGAACACCUGCGGCGAAGGCGGGUUGCUGGGCUGACACUGACGCUGAGGAGCGAAAGCGUGGGGAGCGAACAGG